ACCCACUUAUACCCUAUGGGCUUUACCCCUUCAGGUGGUCAACUAAUGUCUAUACAUCGUUGACCUUCAUGGACUCCAUUUUGGAUCUCAUGGCUUUAAGCCAUUUAUAAGAGUUGGAUCUUUGCAUUGCAUCCAUGUGGGUGAUCGGAUCCUCAUCAUUCUCAUCGAGUUCGACAGGAUCCUUAUCUCGGACCAAAAAAUCUAAAUAUCUGUCUGACUGACAUGGUACUCUACU
rnacentral:lncRNA from 1 species